CGUAGGGGGCAAGCGUUGUCCGGAAUUAUUGGGCGUAAAGCGCGUGUAGGCGGCCAGAUAAGUCCGCUGUGAAAUCUCGAGGCUCAACUUCGAGCUGUCGGUGGAAACUGUCUGGCUAGAGUCCGGAAGAGGAGAAUGGAAUUCCUGGUGUAGCGGUGAAAUGCGCAGAUAUCAGGAAGAACACCCGUGGCGAAGGCGGUUCUCUGGGCCUUACCUGACGCUGAGGAGCGAAAGCGUGGGGAGCGAACAGG
rnacentral:rRNA from 1 species